rnacentral:ncRNA from 1 species
UUUCCUGCCGCCUUGGGUUAAAGACGGACCUCCCUGUUGGACUGGCCCGGGCUUCGCGCCCGGGCUUUUUU